rnacentral:rRNA from 1 species
ACGAGAAGCGAACCUGCGAAGGCAAGCGGAUCUCUUAAAGCCGUUCUCAGUUCGGACUGUAGGCUGCAACUCGCCUACACGAAGCUGGAAUCGCUAGUAAUCGCAGGUCAGCAUACUGCGGUGAAUACGUUCCCGGGUCUUGUACACACCGCCCGUCACACCAUGGGAGCCGGAAAUGCCCGAAGCCAGUGACCCAACCUUAGGGAGGGAGCUGUCGAAGGUGGAGCCGGUAACUGGGGUGAAGUCGUAACAAGGUACC